CGCGGGGUGGAGCAGUCUGGUAGCUCGUCGGGCUCAUAACCCGAAGGUCGUAGGUUCAAAUCCUUCCCCCGCAACCA
rnacentral:tRNA from 2 species